rnacentral:piRNA from 1 species
UACACGUUGUUUGGUACACUCAGAGGGGAC